rnacentral:rRNA from 1 species
UACGUAGGGUGCGAGCGUUGUCCGGAAUUACUGGGCGUAAAGAGCUCGUAGGUGGUUUGUCGCGUUGUUCGUGAAAACCUGAGGCUUAACCUUGGGCGUGCGGGCGAUACGGGCAGACUGGAGUACUGCAGGGGAGACUGGAAUUCCUGGUGUAGCGGUGGAAUGCGCAGAUAUCAGGAGGAACACCCGUGGCGAAGGCGGCUCUCUGGGACGGUACUGACGCUGAGACGCGAAAGCGUGGGGAGCGAACAGG